CACCGUCAACCUAUUUAAGUCGGGCCAAAUGAGAGACUCGUUCUCCUUUGCCAGAUGUCCGUCACCGGCGUUUCCACAAGAUCGCCCAAAACUUUGACAAGGUAACAAAGUGCUCACACUCUCUUCUUAAGCUUCGCAAAUUUCGCUGCAUUUUGCUCACUUUGAACAUUUCGAAGUGACCAAUACAUGUCAAAGCAAGUCAAAUUAACACCAAGUCUCUCUUUUCAGGGUGCUAACAUCUUGCUAGCAUGCUAGCUAAAACCUUUGAGCUUUCGGAGGCAUUUAACGUCUCCUGCGAGCUUAAACUAGACCAAAAUGCAUUUAUCUGGCGUAUAUGCUGAUAAAUGAAUGCACACACAUUUGGACAAAAGUGCCGUUUUGCAGGAGGUUUGAAUCUUCAACCGAAUGGCCAAAUUGAGUGAAUUCCUGUUUCUCUACACAGCAUAUCCUUUAUUAAACAGAAUAAAUCAAGUAAUUGUCUUUGGGUUAAUUCUCAUUUCUGAUUACAGGUUCAAAUCUUCAACAAAAUGGCUGACUUCCUGUGACUUUUGGGGCAGGCCUCUUGAGCCUUUUGUGGGUCUACUGAUAAACGCCUCGCUCAAUUGUCACGUUGCGAAGUCAAACUGGCUCAUGGUGCUGAAUUGGGAGACGUCGAACGCUAACCGUGUUGUUGUGUCUUUCAGGCCGUCGCUGACGAGGCGUCCGGCUGCGCCCUGCUCGCCUCACUGGUGAGACAAACUUUCAUACAUGUAAAAAAACAAAAGUGACUCAUUUCUUUAAGCACGAGCUGACCAGGCAGCCUCCAGCGACGUCAUCACAGUUCAGGUGGGAACACUCACUCGAUGGCAACACCAAAUGUUGGGGUUAACGUUUAAUGUUGUGGUGCUUUUGUAUCAACCCAGGAAGAAUCUGAUGGACUGAAGGAGGUUCCCCCAAAGUUGCACUCUGAGAUGCGCUGCAGCCAGAUCCCUCAAGUUCUUUACCUUCUCGCUCCUGGACAGUAGCAUGUUCUUGCUGCUCACGUCCACCAGGUGGUGCCGAAGAAUUGUGGAGAACCUGAUCAUGGAUCAACUGGUGGUGGAAACAUGGCGUCACAAUCAACUUCCUGUCCAACAUGUUGAGCGGUCGGCUUCCAUUCAAAGUGCCAUCGGGGGACUCUGCUACCAAGAUCCUCCACCUGCUGGGCAAAGAAGAGUUCCACAUGAAUGUGCAGAAGGUCAACGUCGCUGCCUUAAUCUUGAACGUUGACACAUGCUAAUAAACUUACUAAAUAUGAGCUUGGCUGGUCCCUCGUUCAUCUCGUUGUGUUCAGGUCUCCCGGAGAAGUCUCUGCGCCACCAGUCCACUCUGAAGGCUUCAGUCGUUUGAUACGAGGAUGGUUCUUGUUGCAGUAGUAGUGGUGAAGUGGAACUUUAAGCUUGGGACCUGUUGGAAAGACAGACUUAAUGACUUUUGUUUGUUGUUCCAGGUGGUGGAAACAUGGCGUCAUGAUCAACUUCCUGUCCAGCAUGUUGAGUUGAAGUCUGCUUCCAGUCCAAGUGCCAUCGGGGACUUGGCCACCAAGAUCCUGGACAAAGAGAAGAGUUCCACCUGAAUGUGCAGAAGGUCUCCCGGAGAAGUCUCUGCGCCACCAGUCCACUCUGAAGGAUUCAGUCAUUUGAUACGAGGAUGGUUCUUGUUGCAGUAGUAGUGGUCAAGCUAAAGGUGAAGUGGAACUCUAAGCUUGGGACUUGCUCACGUC